rnacentral:misc_RNA from 1 species
GAUGAAGAACGUAGCGAAAUGCGAUAAGUAAUGUGAAUUGCAGAAUUCAGUGAAUCAUCGAAUCUUUGAACGCACAUUGCGCCCGCCAGUAUUCUGGCGGGCAUGCCUGUUCGAGCGUCAUUUCAACCCUCAUGCCCCUAGGGCGUGGUGUUGGGGAUCGGCCAAAGCCCGCGAGGGACGGCCGGCCCCUAAAUCUAGUGGCGGACCCGUCGUGGCCUCCUCUGCGAAGUAGUGAUAUUCCGCAUCGGAGAGCGAUGAGCCCCUGCCGUUAAACCCCCAACUUUCCAAGGUUGACCUCAGAUCAGGUAGGAAUACCCGCUGAACUUAAGCAUAUCAAUAAGCGGAGGA